rnacentral:rRNA from 1 species
CCUACGGGCGACAGCAGUGAGGAAUAUUGGUCAAUGGACGAGAGUCUGAACCAGCCAAGUAGCGUGAAGGAUGACUGCCCUAUGGGUUGUAAACUUCUUUUAUAUGGGAAUAAAAUGUUCCACGUGUGGGAUUUUGUAUGUACCAUAUGAAUAAGGAUCGGCUAACUCCGUGCCAGCAGCCGCGGUAAUACGGAGGAUCCGAGCGUUAUCCGGAGUUAUUGGGUUUAAAGGGAGCGUAGGUGGAUUGUUAAGUCAGUUGUGAAAGUUUGCGGCUCAACCGUAAAAUUGCAGUUGAAACUGGCAGUCUUGAGUACAGUAGAGGUGGGCGGAAUUCGUGGUGUAGCGGUGAAAUGCUUAGAUAUCACGAAGAACUCCGAUUGCGAAGGCAGUUCACUGGACUGCAACUGACACUGAGGCUCGAAAGUGUGGGUAUCAAACAGGAUUAGAUACCCCAGUAGUC